UCUGCACAUUGUGGACCUGCCUGUCAGGAUUCUUUCUUUAAUCUCUCACUUCCUGACCUUUCCCUCCCCCUCAUUUGCACUUCCCAUUUCCCUUGGUCCACAGAAGAAACUCUCAGCACGCCCAACCUCUAGGUCACCCAGCAGUACUCUACAGAGAAGCGACAGGACAGAGAAACAGACAAGAUUCCAGACAGAAUCUAGACUAGAAAUUUCAUUUCAUGUCUGGAAACGAAGUAUUAUAUCCUGAUUGGAUGAGAGAACAUUUUGUUUUACACUAGUACCUAAGGAGUUGCUAAGAUAAAUUGAGAGAGACACAGCAUGAGCAGGGAAGGGGCAGAGAGAGAAGG